AAAAAAGUAGUUUAAUAAAAACAUUUGUUUUCGGUACAUAAAAUAUGAUUUUUAUCUUUUUUA
rnacentral:tRNA from 1 species